GGGAAAUGCUCGCGCCUUGACGGUACCUUACUGGAAAGCCACGGAUAACUUCGUGCCAGCAGCAGCGUGUAUACGUAGGUGCAGCGUGUUGUCCGGUAUUAUUGGGUGUAAAGCGCGCGCAGGCCGUCUCAUAAGUAUGAUGUGAAAGCCCCCGGCUCAACCGGGGAGGGCCAUUGGAAACUGGAAGGCUUGAGUACAGAAGAGAAGAGUGGAAUUCCACGUGUAGCGGUGAAAUGCGUAGAGAUGUGGAGGAACACCAGUGGCGAAGGCGACUCUUUGGCCUAUAACUGACGCUGAGGCGCGAAAGCGUGGGGAGCAAACAGGAUUAGAUACCCUGGUAGUCCACGCCGUAAACGAUGAGUGCUAGGUGUUGGGGGGUUUCCGCCCGUCAGUGCUGAAGCUAACGCAUUAAGCACUCCGCCUGGGGAGUACGGUGGCAAGGCUGAAACUCAAAGGAAUUGACGGGGACCCGCACAAGCGGUGGAGCAUGUGGUUUAAUUCGAAGCCACGCGAAGAACCUUACCAACUCUUGAAAUGCGGUUUUCCGGUACAGAGAUUACCUUUUCCCUUCGGGGACAAUGGUGACAGGUGGUGCAUGGUUGUCGUCAGCUCGUGUCGUGAGAUGUUGGGUUAAGUCCCGCAAGGAGCGCAACCCUUGUCCUUAGUUGCCAGCAUUCAGUUGGGCACUCUAGGGAGACUGCCGGUGACAAACCGGAGGAAGGUGGGGAUGACGUCAAAUCAUCAUGCCCGUUAUGAGUUGGGCUACACACGUGCUACAAUGGACGGUACAAAGGGCAGCGAGACCGCGAGGUGGUGUCAUUCCCAGAAGGCCUUUCUCAGUUCGGAUUGCAGGUCACAACUCGCCUGUAUGUAGUCGGAUUCGCUGGUAAUCGCAGGUCAGCCUACUGCGGUGAGUUCGUUUCCGUGUCUUGUACACACCGCCCGUCAUUCCACGAUCGUUUGCAACCCCCGAAGUCGGAGAG
rnacentral:rRNA from 1 species